CUUCAGAGUGUAACUGAAACGCGCUCUUCUCGGAUCUCAAGCCGCUGGGUUCUCGACCGGAAGUCACGCCAUCUGCUCUCGCGUUGUCCAGUUUAACGCGGACACAGAUUUUGGGACUUCUCGGUCUCCAUACUCCUGUGAGCCAAUUCCGAGAUUUGCGGUCAGCAACCUGGAGAACCGUGGAGCCGAUGAUCUAAUUUCCGGUCGGAAACGCAGCAGGGUUGAGAUCUGAGAAGAACCGUUUAUUCAGUUCCACUCUGAAGUUUUUACUUCUUCUCAGUCUACAUAAUUUGGCUGAGUCCUCAAAUAAAAAAUUGAUGCUCACAACCAGAAGGACCCACAACGAGAAUAUACAACUAUGUACUAAGGGGCUUUGGGGAGAAGAGGAAGAAAAAAAAUUAAUGAAAAGCAAUUUUAUUAUGGAAUAGCAUGGUCAAUUUAGUAUGGGACUGCAACCAAUUAAGGAAAGAAGGUUUUUGCUGAUUAAUUAAAAUUAACAGAAAUUAUUCAAAUACUGUGUGGAUGAAUUAUAUAAACACCCCUACCCACCCACCUCCACAAGUGCCUGAAGUUACGCAACACUAUCUGGUGAUUUGAAGAGCAAAGGCCUUCAUUUGUUAGAGGCGAAGAAGGUGAGCAGAAUAAACAUUAACUUAUUCUAACUGGCCAAGUCUGCAGGAGAUGCAAUAGGUCUGAGAGACUGAAAUAGGAGUAGAACCACCACCUAGAGAGAAUUGUGAUGCUCAACAUUACAUAACUCCUUAGAGCUAGAUCUGGAACUAGAGUUUUUUCAAGUUGUACUUUUAUCUCAGACAAAUAAAUAUUGAAAUUAUUUAAUUCAUUACUUUGUCUUUAUCUCUUUUAAGAUCCAGUAUGCAGUAAACAUUCAAAUUUGUAUAAAAGUGUGGUACACAAAUUUCCCUGAAAAUCUUUAGAAUGUCUCAAGUUCUA
rnacentral:lncRNA from 1 species